rnacentral:rRNA from 1 species
CCUACGGGCGGCAGCAGUGGGGAAUAUUGGACAAUGGGGGCAACCCUGAUCCAGCCAUGCCGCGUGUGUGAAGAAGGCCCGCGGGUUGUAAAGCACUUUCAGUGAGGAAGAACGCCUGGUGGUUAAUACCCAUCAGGAAAGACAUCACUCACAGAAGAAGCACCGGCUAACUCCGUGCCAGCAGCCGCGGUAAUACGGAGGGUGCGAGCGUUAAUCGGAAUUACUGGGCGUAAAGCGCGCGUAGGUGGCUUGAUAAGCCGGUUGUGAAAGCCCCGGGCUCAACCUGGGAACGGCAUCCGGAACUGUCAAGCUAGAGUGCAGGAGAGGAAGGUAGAAUUCCCGGUGUAGCGGUGAAAUGCGUAGAGAUCGGGAGGAAUACCAGUGGCGAAGGCGGCCUUCUGGACUGACACUGACACUGAGGUGCGAAAGCGUGGGUAGCAAACAGGAUUAGAUCCCCAGUAGUC